UCCGGUUCCCGGGGCUACGAGGCGGAAGCGAAGGCAGACGCAGUCUCCGUCGUUGACGUUAGUCGCAGUCUUCGCUGCUAACGUUUUGUUAUGAGUUGCUAAAAUGGUGAAAUGCUGCUCCGCCAUUGGAUGUGCUUCUCGCUGCUUGCCAAAUUCGAAGUUAAAAGGACUGACAUUUCACGUAUUCCCCACAGAUGAAAACAUCAAAAGGAAAUGGGUAUUAGCAAUGAAAAGACUUGAUGUGAAUGCAGCCGGCAUUUGGGAGCCUAAAAAAGGAGAUGUGUUGUGUUCGAGGCACUUUAAGAAGACAGAUUUUGACAGAAGUGCUCCAAAUAUUAAACUGAAACCUGGAGUCAUACCUUCUAUCUUUGAUUCUCCAUAUCACCUACAGGUUUGUUUAUGAGAUACUGUUUACCAUCAUUGCUCACUUUUUUUUUUUUUUUUUUUUGAGAUAGAGUCUCGCUCUGUCACCAAGGCUGGAGUGCAGUGGCGCGAUCUCAGCUCACUGCAAUCUCUGCCUCCAGGGUUUAAGCAAUUCUCUGCCUCAGCCUCCCGAGAAGCUGGGAUUACAGGCACCUGCCACCACACCUGGCUAAUUUUUGUAUUUUUAGGAGAGAUGGCGUUUCACCAUCUUGGCCAGGCUGGUCUUGAACUCCUGACCUCGUGAUCCACCCUCCUCGGCGUCCCAAAGUGCUGGGAUUACAGGCAUGAGCCACCGUGCCUGGCCAUUGCUCACUUUUUAUGAUACUAUUGAAGAACCUUCACCACUCUUGCUAACAUUUUUAUUGUUUGCUUAUUCAUUUGAAGUCUGUUCUUGAAGUUUUAAAUUUGUAGACUGCAUCUUCAACUUUUGUAAUGUGUAGUAGGAGUAUUUUACCAGUAACCACUCAUAAAUAUUUGUAUAUUACUAAGGUUUGAUGAAGUGGGCUGACUUUAGGAAUUAGCAUAACUGAAGAUUUUUGUCUAAAAAUGGAAGUUAACGUAAGAAGGUUGAACUGAUGUUCCAAGUUGGCAGUCCUUAACACUGGGGCAGAAGUCAGGAGUAGAACCACUAACAGGACUAAAGUACUUGUAAGAGCCACAUACAUGCAAGCAUAAAGUCUAGGUAGGAUCAAAAGGAAGAAAACCAAAA
rnacentral:lncRNA from 1 species